GGGUGAGUAACACGUGGGAACGUGCCCUCCGGUCUGGGAUAACCCUGGGAAACUAGGGCUAAUACCGGAUACGUGCUUUGGCAGAAAGGUUUACUGCCGGAGGAUCGGCCCGCGUCUGAUUAGCUAGUUGGUGGGGUAACGGCCUACCAAGGCGACGAUCAGUAGCUGGUCUGAGAGGAUGAUCAGCCACACUGGGACUGAGACACGGCCCAGACUCCUACGGGAGGCAGCAGUGGGGAAUAUUGGACAAUGGGCGCAAGCCUGAUCCAGCCAUGCCGCGUGAGUGAUGACGGCCUUAGGGUUGUAAAGCUCUUUUCUCCGGGACGAUAAUGACGGUACCGGAAGAAUAAGCACCGGCUAACUACGUGCCAGCAGCCGCGGUAAUACGUAGGGUGCGAGCGUUAAUCGGAAUUACUGGGCGUAAAGCGGGCGCAGACGGUUACUUAAGCAGGAUGUGAAAUCCCCGGGCUCAACCUGGGAAUUGCGUUCUGAACUGGGUGGCUAGAGUGUGUCAGAGGGGGGUAGAAUUCCACGUGUAGCAGUGAAAUGCGUAGAGAUGUGGAGGAAUACCGAUGGCGAAGGCAGCCCCCUGGGAUAGCACUGACGUUCAUGCCCGAAAGCGUGGGUAGCAAACAGGAUUAGAUACCCUGGUAGUCCACGCCCUAAACGAUGUCGAUUAGCUGUUGGGCAACUUGAUUGCUUGGUAGCGAAGCUAACGCGUGAAAUCGACCGCCUGGGGAGUACGGUCGCAAGAUUAAAACUCAAAGGAAUUGACGGGGACCCGCACAAGCGGUGGAUGAUGUGGAUUAAUUCGAUGCAACGCGAAGAACCUUACCUGGUCUUGACAUGUACGGAACCUUCCGGAGACGGAAGGGUGCCUUCGGGAGCCGUAACACAGGUGCUGCAUGGCUGUCGUCAGCUCGUGUCGUGAGAUGUUGGGUUAAGUCCCGCAACGAGCGCAACCCUUGUCAUUAGUUGCCAUCAUUUGGUUGGGCACUCUAAUGAGACUGCCGGUGACAAGCCGGAGGAAGGUGGGGAUGACGUCAAGUCCUCAUGGCCCUUAUGACCAGGGCUUCACACGUCAUACAAUGGUCGGUACAGAGGGUAGCCAAGCCGCGAGGUGGAGCCAAUCCCAAAAAACCGAUCGUAGUCCGGAUUGCACUCUGCAACUCGAGUGCAUGAAGUCGGAAUCGCUAGUAAUCGCAGGUCAGCAUACUGCGGUGAAU
rnacentral:rRNA from 1 species